GAUGAACGCUAGCUACAGGCUUAACACAUGCAAGUCGAGGGGAAACGACAUCGAAAGCUUGCUUUUGAUGGGCGUCGACCGGCGCACGGGUGAGUAACGCGUAUCCAACCUGCCCGCCACUUGGGGAUAACCUUGCGAAAGUAAGACUAAUACCCAAUGAUAUCCCACGAAGGCAUCCGAAUGGGAUUAAAGAUUUAUCGGUGAUGGAUGGGGAUGCGUCUGAUUAGCUUGUUGGCGGGGUAACGGCCCACCAAGGCAACGAUCAGUAGGGGUUCUGAGAGGAAGGUCCCCCCACAUUGGAACUGAGACACGGUCCAAACUCCUACGGGAGGCAGCAGUGAGGAAUAUUGGUCAAUGGGCGAGAGCCUGAACCAGCCAAGUAGCGUGCAGGACGACGGCCCUAUGGGUUGUAAACUGCUUUUAUAAGGGAAUAAAGUGAGUCUCGUGAGACUUUUUGCAUGUACCUUAUGAAUAAGGACCGGCUAAUUCCGUG
rnacentral:rRNA from 1 species